UACGAAGGGUGCAAGCGUUACUCGGAAUUACUGGGCGUAAAGCGUGCGUAGGUGGUGAGUUAAGUCUGAUGUGAAAUCCCCGGGCUCAGCCUGGGAAUGGCAUUGGAUACUGGCUCGCUAGAGUGCGGUAGAGGGUGGUGGAAUUCCCGGUGUAGCAGUGAAAUGCGUAGAGAUGCGGAGGAACACCGAUGGCGAAGGCAGCCCCCUGGGCUAGCACUGACGCUCAGGCACGAAAGCAUGGGGAGCGAACAGG
rnacentral:rRNA from 1 species